UGAAAACGUAGCAAGCAAAGGUUAUCAUUCUUAACAAUUAAAAAAGCUAAGAUAACCUUCAUUUUCACAUUUCCGGUAUUAUAAAACUGGAAUCUGGGAAAUUUCUCUAAGACCAAACGUACAUGGACAGCGUUUAGUGUUUACCACCAUCCACCACAGGCUUACUCGUACACUAGCUAUUACGGUGGUGCUUCUAAAAUGACAUUGUCUUUCAUCUUCGUUUUGGGUAUUCCUGCGGCAAUUCAUUCAGCUCAAGGGAAUUUUAUAGGUGAUUUAAUUGGACAUGCCGCUAGCGAACACUGUUCCAAUGGUAAAGACGUAUCAGCGGAUCUUCAGACAUGCAAUUCUGCAAUAACGGAUGUCACCGCCGACUUGAAACUACUACAAACAACCGGGAAUGUCGAGGAACAACCUGGGAUUUCGAAUGAGAAUUUUGCCACAGUCACCGACAAAAUCUGUUCUGCGGUAAGUUCAGCGUUAAUCUGCUUCGGGCAUGCAGCUGAAAACUGUGGGAUAUGGCUGCAAACGUCUGUAAGCAGUGCCAGGCGGUUUAUUCAGGCCUUCUGUAACGAUCCGCAAAAGGGCACGCACAUAAAAAAUUUAUUUCUCUGCCUUCCAAAGCUGCAUCACAAGUUCAUCGGUUUGGAAUCGCAUUUCCCAAUUGCGAAUCCGACAGCAUUUACAAAGAUACUCGUAUUUUCCGGCAUCUCUAAGCUAAAGUGCCAAUUAACCACAGAGCUGCAAGGUCAUAGAAAAUGGAGUGAUCACUGAACAGUGUGGAGAAGAAGCUGCAGUGACUCUCAAUUAUAUGUUAGAUAGAGCCAACGAAGAAUUCUCUCACAGAUCUGUACUAGAAGGACGUGCAAAGCCACCUAAGCCAGGCAAGAAGCCUAAGCCGACUAAAAGACCAACACCAAGACCCGAGCAACCGUACCGAGAGCCGUAUUUAAGAACCACCUUCAACGCAUCCGAACCGACAACUACUCGUUCGCCGAAUAACCGGAAUUAUUCGGCUACGAUCACUGCACAAUUCUGGAUCCUACCGAUAGCACUAAUUUGUUUGGCCUUGUGGUGGUAGGAACUACAAACCACAAUGCCUGCUGGAUCGCCAUCGUAUAUUGAGUCAGUGGCUGACAUUUGCACAGUAUCGGCAUACACCGACAUUGUACAAGACUUUGGAUUUUAUAUAUAUAUAUAUAUAAUAACAAUAAUUUAUUGUUCUUGGGUACAAGAUAAUAAAAGCGACGUCGGCUUUUAUGAACUAUACAGAGUAGUUCGCGUCUUUUUCUGUUAUCAUGCUCUCUUUGUAGCCUCUUGUCGGGUUACAUAACGACAGCCUGAUGUCAUAAAGCUGCAUCUGAACUCUGAAGACAAUUUGGUACGUCAUGA